GAUGAACGCUGGCGGCGUGCCUAAUACAUGCAAGUCGAGCGAACAGAUGAGUAGCUUGCUCCACUGACGUUAGCGGCGGACGGGUGAGUAACAUGUGGAUAACCUACCUAUAAGACUGCGAUAACUUCGGGAAACCGGAGCUAAUACCGGAUAAUAUAUUGAACCGCAUGGUUCAAUAGUGAAAGACGGUUUUGCUGUCACUUCUAGAUGGAUCCGCGCCGCAUUGGCUAGUUGGUAAGGUAACGGCUUACCAAGGCAACGAUGCGUAGCCGACCUGAGAGGGGGAUCGGCCACACUGGAACUGAGACACGGUCCAGACUCCGACGGGAGGCAGCAGUAGGGAAUCUACCGCAAUGGGCGAAAGCCUGACGGAGCAACGCCGCGUGAGUGAUGAAGGUCUGCGGAUCGUAAAACGCUGUUAUUAGGGAAGAACAAAUGUGUAAGUAACUAUGCACGUCUUGACGGUACCUAAUCAGAAAGCCACGGCUAACUACGUG
rnacentral:rRNA from 1 species